AGAGUUUGAUCCUGGCUCAGGAUGAACGCUGGCGGCGUGCCUAAUACAUGCAAGUCGAACGAAUCUUCUUCGGAAGAUGAGUGGCGAACGGGUGAGUAAUACAUAGGUAACCUGCCCCUGUGCGGGGGAUAACAGGAGGAAACUCCUGCUAAUACCGCAUAGCCAUGAGCACCGCAUGGAGCUCAUGCCAAAUAUCCUUCAGGGGAUAGCGCAGGGAUGGACCUAUGGCGCAUUAGCUAGUUGGCGGGGCAACGGCCCACCAAGGCAACGAUGCGUAGCCGGCCUGAGAGGGCGGACGGCCACAUUGGGACUGAGACACGGCCCAGACUCCUACGGGAGGCAGCAGUAGGGAAUUUUCGGCAAUGGGGGAAACCCUGACCGAGCAACGCCGCGUGAGCGAAGAAGGCCUUCGGGUCGUAAAGCUCUGUUGUAAAGGAAGAACGUCGCAUGCAGGAAAUGGUGUGCGAGUGACGGUACUUUACCAGAAAGCCACGGCUAACUACGUGCCAGCAGCCGCGGUAAUACGUAGGUGGCGAGCGUUAUCCGGAAUCAUUGGGCGUAAAGAGGGAGCAGGCGGCCGCAAGGGUCUGUGGUGAAAGACCGAAGCUAAACUUCGGUAAGCCAUGGAAACCGGGCGGCUAGAGUGCGGAAGAGGAUCGUGGAAUUCCAUGUGUAGCGGUGAAAUGCGUAGAUAUAUGGAGGAGCACCAGUGGCGAAGGCGACGGUCUGGGCCGCAACUGACGCUCAUUCCCGAAAGCGUGGGGAGCAAAUAGGAUUAGAUACCCUAGUAGUCCACGCCGUAAACGAUGGUCACUAAGUGUCGGGGGUCAAACCCCGGUGCUGCAGUCAACGCAAUAAGUGACCCGCCUGAGUAGUACGUUCGCAA
rnacentral:rRNA from 1 species